CCUACGGGAGGCAGCAGUGAGGAAUAUUGGUCAAUGGACGAAAGUCUGAACCAGCCAAGUAGCGUGAAGGAUGACUGCCCUAUGGGUUGUAAACUUCUUUUAUCUGGGAAUAAAAUGUUCCACGUGUGGGAUUUUGUAUGUACCAUAUGAAUAAGGAUCGGCUAACUCCGUGCCAGCAGCCGCGGUAAUACGGAGGAUCCGAGCGUUAUCCGGAUUUAUUGGGGUUAAAGGGAGCGUAGGGGGAUUGUUAAGGCAGUUGUGAAAGUUUGCGGCUCAACCGUAAAAUUGCAGUUGAAACUGGCAGCCUUGAGUGCAGUAGAGGUGGGCGGAAUUCGUGGUGUAGCGGUGAAAUGCUUAGAUAUCACGAAGAACUCCGAUUGCGAAGGCAGUUUACCGGACCGCAACUGACACUGAGGCUCGAAAGUGCGGGUAUCGAACAGGAUUAGAUACCCUUGUAGUC
rnacentral:rRNA from 1 species